CCUGAACGCUGGCGGCGUGGCUAAGACAUGCAAGUCGCACGGAUGUAGCAAUACAUCAGUGGCGGACGGGUGAGUAAUUUAUCGCUAAUGUACCCUUGAGCCUGGGAUAGCUGUCCGAAAGGGCAGGUAAUACCAGAUGAAAUGAGCUUGUCGCAUGACAGGAAUCUCAAAGCAGCAAUGCACUCUUGGAGCAGGCGAUAUCGUAUCAGCUAGUUGGUGAGGUAACGGCUCACCAAGGCGAUGACGCGUAGCUGGUCUGAGAGGACGACCAGCCACAUCGGGACUGAGACACU
rnacentral:rRNA from 1 species